AUGCCAUAAAUGAGUAAAACUGUUGGAGAGAACCUACCAAAUGGGAUGACAAUUCAUAGUCUUAAGUUACUAGUAUGAAACUGCUUUCUAAAAAAGGGAAAAGUUAAUCACGGUAAAUCUUAUUUAAUUUUAUGAGUAACUCUAAAAGUGCAAAAGACUCGUCAAUUUCCUUCAUUUGCAAAGUCUCAACACCAAAAACACAAUACUUAUGGUGAACCAAUAACUGUCUGAGUAAAUUUAUACAUAGCCAUAAACGAUUCUGAAGAGAGAGAGUGGGCGUCUCCCUCAAAAGGUCGAUCGAGACAUUUUAACUGUAGAUUGUUGAUGAGGUAUUUAGCUGAAGCACUCGACAAGACAGAGGGAACAAUAGGAUCUUCGGUCAUAUAAGUCAAAAGAAUGGGUAUCUCUUUAGCAACUCGAGAGAGAGCGGAUGGAAAUUUUGAAGCCAAAGGUAAGAACCCUGAAUGCCCCAUAAUUCCUGCUAAACGUUUGGGAUAGGUAAG